rnacentral:misc_RNA from 1 species
GAUGAAGAACGCAGCGAAAUGCGAUAAGUAAUGUGAAUUGCAGAAUUCAGUGAAUCAUCGAAUCUUUGAACACACAUUGCGCCCGUCAGUAUUCUGGCGGGCAUGCCUGUUCGAGCGUCAUUACGCCCCUCAAGUCCCCUGUGGACUUGGUGUUGGGGAUCGGCGAGGCUGGUUUUCCAGCACAGCCGUCCCUUAAAUUAAUUGGCGGUCUCGCCGUGGCCCUCCUCUGCGCAGUAGUAAAACACUCGCAACAGGAGCCCGGCGCGGUCCACUGCCGUAAAACCCCCCAACUUUUUAUAGUUGACCUCGAAUCAGGUAGGACUACCCGCUGAACUUAAGCAUAUCAAUAAGCGGAGGA